GGUGGCUCAGUCGUAGAGCACUUGCCUUGCAUGCAUGAGGCCUGGGUUCGAUUCCUCAGCACCA
rnacentral:tRNA from 1 species